UACGUAGGGGUCGAGCGUUGUCCGGAGUUACUGGGCGUAAAGCGCGUGCAGGUGGCUCAUUACGCCCGGCGUGAAAGCCCCCGGCUCAACCGGGGAGGGUCGUCGGGGACGGGUGAGCUUGAGGGUAGCAGGGGCUGGUAGAAUUCCCGGUGUAGUGGUGAAAUGCGUAGAGAUCGGGAGGAAUACCCGUGGCGAAGGCGGCCAGCUGGGCUGCACCUGACACUGAGACGCGAAGGCGUGGGGAGCGAACGGG
rnacentral:rRNA from 1 species